rnacentral:tRNA from 1 species
GCUGUAAAGCUCAAUGGGUGAGAGCACCAUUCUGGAAUGAAAAAGCUAUGGAUGUACCCAGGUUCUGGGUUCAAUUCCCAAUACUAGCA